CUUCCAGAGCUGGUUCACUUCGUAUAGGGACUGAAAACCAAGUGAGGAGAUGGAUCCACACUGGCCAGGAUAUCAGGGAUAUAUUCCCUGCUCUUCUCAUCUCCAGAGAUGUUCUACAUUCACCUGAGAGGGCAGACAGUACCUUGGAAUAAAAUUAAUAGUUUCUUUAACAGUUCUGCAGUGUCUCAGUACUGCACUGAAGCUUCAGGAACACCAUUCUUAAUUUUGAAAAACAUGAGGAUGGAUAUUCCCUUGGACCUGACAGGAUAUACCCAAGGUUACUACAGGAAGUUUGAGGGAAGAGAUUGCCUCUUUGGUGAUGAUCUUUUCAUCCUGACUGUCCACUGGAUUAGUACCAGGUGAUUGGAGGGAGCAGAUGUUUUUCCCUUGUUCAAGAAAGGGAAUAGGGAUAACCCCGGGAAUUACAGACCAAUCAGUCUUCUGUGAUGGGCAAAAUAUUGGACAGAAUUCUGAGAGAUAGUAUUUAUGAUUAUUUGGAAAGUUUGAUUCGAGAUUGUCAGCAUGACUUUGUGAGGGGCAGGUCAUGCAUCACAAGCCUUAUCGAAUUCUUUGAGGAUAUGACAAAUCACACCGAUGAAGGUAGAGAAAUAGAUGUGGUGUAUAUGGAUUUUAGCAAGGAAUUUCAUGCUUCUGCAAAGUAAGGAGGCAUGGGAUUCAGGGAAAUUUGGCUGUCUAGGUGCAGAAUCAGCUGUCCAAUUGAAGACAGGGGGUAAUAGUAGAUAGAAAGUAUUCAGCCUGAAGCUUGAUAACCAGUGGUGUUUUGCAGGGAUCUGUUCUGGGACCUCUGCUCUUUGUGAUUUUGGACGAGGAAAUGGAAGGACGGGUUAGUAAGUUUGCCGAUGACACAAAGGUUGGUGGAGUUGUGGAUAGUGUGGAGGGCUGUUGUAGGUUUCAACGGGACAAUGACAGGAUGCAGAGAUGGGCAAAGAAGUGGCAGAUGGAAUUCAACCCAGAAAAGUGUGAAGUGAUUCAUUUUGAAAGGUCAAAUUUGAAUGCAGAAUACAGGGCUAAUGGCAGGAUUCUUGACAGUGUGGAGGAACAAAGGGAUCUUGAGAUCCGUGUCCAUAGAGUCCCUCAAAGUUGCCAUCUAAGUUGAUUGGGUUGUUAAGAAGGCAUAUGGUGUGUUAGCAUUCAGUGGCAGGGACAUUGAGUUUAAGAGCCAUGAGGUUAUGCUGCAGCUCUAAAAAACCAUUAGAUUAGACCGCACUUGGAAUAUUGUGUUCAGUUCCGGUCCCCUCAUUAUAGGAAGGAUGUGGAAGCUUUAGAGAGGGUGCAGAGGAGAUUUACCAGGAUGCUGCCUGGACUGGAGGGCAGGUCUUAUGAAGAAAGGUUGAGUGAGCUCGGCUUUUCUCUUUGGAUAAAAGAAGGAUGAGAGGUGACUUGAUAGAGGUGUACAAGAUGAUGAGGCAUAGAUAGAGUGGAUAGACAAAGACUUUUUGCCAGGGCAAAAACGGCUAUCAUGAGGGGGCAUAAUUUUAAGGUGAUUGGAGGAAGGUAUUGGGGAAAUGGUCAGAGGUGUGUUCUUUACACAGAAAGUGGAAUGCACUGCUAGGGGUGGUAAUAGAGUCAGAUAUAUUAGGGACAUUUAAGCGAGUCUUGGAUAGGCACAUAGAUGAUAGUAAAAUGAAGGGUAUGCAGAUGAGUUUGAUCUUACAGUAGGAUAAUAGGCCAGCACAACUUUGUGGGCCGAAGGGCCUGUACUGUUCUAAGUUCUAUGCUUAAGACUCUGGGGUGUAACAUGAAACUGCAAUCUUUUGACUUAGCCAUGAUAGUCUGCAGCUGACAGUAAUAAAAUUUCUGUCAAUUGGAUUCAGUUUCUAAGAUUUUCAUUCCAAAGGCUGGGUAUGGAAUGUUUCUCCUCCUGUAAACUGGCAGCCUGAAAGUUUGAUUUGGUUUAAACUGGUGAUAGCUAGUGAGAGCUGUGGAUAUCAGUGUUGUCUUGUGUUCUGGGAUCCUGAGGCUGUGAAAGGUGGUAAAGUUCCUGGGGUCAAGGGAUUGCCUUCAAUCAUUUUUGCUGAUGGACCAUUCUGCUUUGAUUCAAUAUUCACUAAAGGUCUAUUGUUUAGACACACGUCUAAAUAUAGUCAUUGUUAUAAUAUGAAUAAUUUUAUUGCAAGGAGUUUCUGUUUCAUACAUUUAUGACUGGUUUUAAAAUCAUGCAUAUUCUGUUUGGCUGUACAAUACUGGAGAUGGUUGCAGAGUAAAUUGCUUUGUUGCAUAAACAA